CGUUAGUGAUGUUUACAGCUUAUCACACGGGUCCACGUUUAGUGAUAUUUACAGCUGUAUCACAUGGGUCCACGUUAGUGAUAUUUACAGCUGUAUCACACGGGUCCAAGUUAGUGAGAUUUACAGCUGUAUCACACGGGUCCAAGUUAGUGAUAUUUACAGCUGUAUCACACAGGUCCAAUUUUAAUAAUGCUUUGAACAUGUAAAACAUUGCUUGACAAUUUUCACACUAUCAUUAUCUUCAUCAGGUAGCUAGAUACUAGUACUAUCAGAAGGGUUACCCAGUAAG